rnacentral:rRNA from 1 species
GACGUAGGGCGCGAGCGUUGUCCGGAUUUAUUUGGGCGUAAAGAGCUCGUAGGCGGCUCGUCGCGUCGACCGUGAAAACAGGCAGCUCAACUGUGUGCUUGCGGUCGAUACGGGGCGGGGCUAGAGUUCGGUAGGGGAGACUGGAAUUCCUGGUGUAGCGGUGAAAUGCGCAGAUAUCAGGAGGAACACCGGUGGCGAAGGCGGGUCUCUGGGCCGAUACUGACGGCUGAGGAGCGAAAGCGUGGGGGAGCGAACAGG